rnacentral:rRNA from 1 species
AUGAUUUGGCAAAUGCCCUCAUUCUCAGGUAUGCACACUCUUCCUAAACUUAAUCGUUUUUAUAAACAAAGAAGCAAGAAAGGUUGGGCUUCUGAUGGUGAUCGUAAUACAAAUUUUUUCCAUCAAGCUGUGCUUAAGAGGAGAAAAAGGAACACUAUUUGCUCUAUAAAGGACGAACAUGGUGUUAUGCAUUUUAAACCUAGUCUUAUUGCAAAUACUUUUGUAAACUAUUUUAGCAGCACUGGUCGUCCUUUCCUUGCUACUCACCUACCUCAGGAUUCUUUGGAUCCCACUUAUCUCAUCCCAGAUAAGAAUGAAGUUUUGCAGAUUUUGAAGGAUAUGAAGUUGAAUGCCUCUCCAGGACCAGAUGGGUUUAAUGUUGAAUUUUAUCUAGCUGCUUGGGAAUGGAUAGGUGAGGAAGUUACUCACUUGGUGGUCAAUUUUUACAAAACAGGUAUUUUACCACCUCACAUUAGUGAUACUAACAUUGCGCUCAUUCCAUAA